CAGACAUUGAUGCUGCAGAUUCUUCAGUUUUUUUGAAGGAAGCAGAGGAGAAUUCGACAACUGCAAGUUCUCAAGAUCAGAAUGGGAAUAUGGCUACAGACUUAAUAAGUCUUGCAGAGGAGGAGAUUGACCCAAGUGAAAUGAUGCAUCGAUGGCCUCCAGUUAGAUUAUUUUCUGCUAAGAUGAGAGGGCUACGGGAUCUUCUCCUUGCAGAUAAAUUAAAUUCUCAAGCAAUUUCCUUACAAUUAACAGCGCAGUCACAGGUAAUUAUGACAAGAAGAGAGGAGCUGGAGAGGUAGAAAGCCAACACGUAGGGAGAUCCAAAAGAGCACGGAGAGAGUAGAGAGAGACUUUUCAGAAGUUCAGGAACAGCUCCCCCAGAGAAACAGCACACGAUGAUGAAUGAAGAAAGAUAGCAGUGGGCUGCAUGACUUGUAAAAAGUCAUAGUUCCAACUUGCACUAAAUGUAACAUUAAGGUAUUGAUUUUUAUUUGGAACUGGUUACUGUAUCCAGUAAGAAGGAAAUGAUGUA